rnacentral:rRNA from 1 species
GAUCAUGGCUCAGAUUGAACGCUGGCGGCAGGCCUAACACAUGCAAGUCGAGCGGUAGCACAGAGAGCUUGCUCUCGGGUGACGAGCGGCGGACGGGUGAGUAAUGUCUGGGAAACUGCCUGAUGGAGGGGGAUAACUACUGGAAACGGUAGCUAAUACCGCAUAACGUCGCAAGACCAAAGUGGGGGGACCUUCGGCCGUCCAUGCCACUCAGAUGUGCCCACGAUGGAG